rnacentral:rRNA from 1 species
UACGGGGGGAGCAAGCGUUGUUCGGAUUUACUGGGCGUAAAGGGCGCGUAGGCGGCGUGACAAGUCACUUGUGAAAUCUCCGGGCUUAACCCGGAGCGGCCAAGUGAUACUGUCGUGCUAGAGUGCGGAAGGGGCUACUGGAAUUCUCGGUGUAGCGGUGAAAUGCGUAGAUAUCGAGAGGAACACCUAUAGCGAAGGCAGCUUGCUGGGACGUUACUGACGCUAAGGCGCGAAAGCGUGGGGAGCGAACAGG